CCGGGACGUGAGCGCGGGGCUGCGGGCCCAGCGGGAGCCGAGUCUCCUCAGACGUGCGCAGCUGCUGCUGGCGGGACGGAGCUCCUCAGCCGUGCGCCGUCGGCUUGGGGCCGGCUGGCCGGUCGGGGCACCCCUGGAAAUGGAAUGAAACAUUGCCCAAUUCUGGAACUGCAAAUAAAACUGAGAAAAUGUUUUCCUAAACAAUUAUCAAAGAGGCUGACUGAAAGUAUACUCUUAGACUAUUGGAAUUACCCUUGUAUCUGAAGGGAGAAUGGAAGGUGCUGUUUAAGUGGGAACCUGAUUUGCAUGGUCUCGUUUGAACUUCUAGAUGAGAAGAGACACUGCAUCAUAGCAGCUGUGGAGAUGGCCACCCUGGAAAGCGCUGGGUUGAGACCCUGGACUGCCCUCUUCCUAGUGCUCUGACCCCAGGGUCCACUUCAAGGCAGUAAGGAUGGAUGGAGCAGCAAAGAAAUUCUGAGAAUUCUGGAAAGUUCUCUGGUCUAGCACCUGCUGGGGAAGAACCUCAGGGAGCCCAGUCAUGUCCCAGCAGGGGAAAUGGCCAGGCAAGGCCGCUCUGCAGACGUCACCUGCCCUGGACUCUGCUCCCCACCCCGUCCAAAGCCCCAGGCUGGAUGCUGUGAGCCAUGUGCAUGUCUGGGUCACACUGGGUAAUGGACAGACAUCAAGCACGAACGGGAAGAGGAGGGAGAUUUGGAAGGGGAGCGGCCAGUCCCAAGUACCUGCCAUAGGAACUGC